rfam:Gorilla gorilla gorilla genomic chromosome, chr11, whole genome shotgun sequence
GCUGGGCGUGAUGGCUCACGCCUGUAAUCCCAGCUUUGGGAGGCCAAGGCGGGUGGAUCACCUGAGGUCAGGAGUUCUAAACCAGCCUGACCAACAUGGUGAAACCCUGUCUCUA